AUUGAACGCUGGCGGCAGGCCUAACACAUGCAAGUCGAACGAGUGGCGGACGGGUGAGUAAUGUCUGGGAAACUGCCUGAUGGAGGGGGAUAACUACUGGAAACGGUAGCUAAUACCGCAUACCAUCGGAUGUGCCCAGAUGGGAUUAGCUAGUAGGUGGGGUAACGGGUCACCUAGGCGACGAUCCCUAGCUGGGCUGAGAGGAUGACCAGCCACACUGGAACUGAGACAGGGUCCAGACUCCUACGGAGGGCAGCAGUGGGGAAUAUUGCACAAUGGGCGCAAGCCUGAUGCAGCCAUGCCGCGUGAAUAGAGAAGGCAGUAGGGUUAUAAAGUACUUUCAGCGGGGAGGCGUUACCCGCAGAUGAAGCAACGGCUAACUCCGUGCCAGCAGCCGCGGUAAUUG
rnacentral:rRNA from 1 species